rfam:Bacillus cereus ATCC 14579, complete genome.
UUUAAGGCAUAGAAGAGAAGAGUAGUUAAGAAAGAAUACGUACAGAGAGCUCUGGUAGCUGAGAAAGAGCGGUAUACAUCUUAAUGAAAAAAGACUUGGAGCUGCGCAAGGAACUAAUUUAUUUAGGGAUGGUGCGACGGGUUCUCCCGUUAUAGAGAUAGGGUAUAAGCAUAUUUUGCCGUACCUGAAGAGGUUAAUAUGGUGACAUAUUAACAAACUGAGGUGGUACCGCGAAGCUAACAACUCUCGUCCUCAAG